GAGUUGAGUGAAGUAUAUUCGCUUAAAUAUUACAAAGAUCGUAAAGCGCGAAAAACUUAAAAUAAUUUUAAUUAAAAAUCUCAAUAUUUAAAAAUUUUUAUCUUGAGCUUGAUGAUCACGUGUAAUAUCAACAUAUACGAGUUUUUAAUUAACUUUGAAGAUUACCGAGUUAAUUUUCAUGUAUAUUCCGAAGAGUGAACAUCGAAGGUUCCUCAAAAUGUCUUUCCUACAAAACUUUAGUUUUGGUCCGACGGGCCUUACUACGCGUAAUAUCAACACAAUCGGACUUUCGAUCGACUUUGACACUUAUUGCAUUAGUGUUACUUUAUAUACCGACGAGUGAACAUAGAAAUUCUUACAGGAUGUCUUUCCUUCAAAGUAAUAGAGAAGAAUUAAAACUGACGAUCCUUGGCUACGCGUAACGAUAACAUAAUCGGACUUGUGACCGACUUCGACUAUAGCUAUAGAAUAUUUUCAACAAUUAUUUGAAAUUAAUUAUUUUAAUUUUUUUCGAGACUUGUUGUUUAUGGGUCUUUGAGAGAGGCCUUCCUUAUUUUUCAAUAGGAAAAAAUCGAAUUGGAUUUUGGUACUUUGGUUUUGCUCGAGUUGCGUCCGAGUUGUUAAUUUUACUGAUAAUUAUUGAGAUAUUGAUAAGAACGUUCUUAUCUAUUAUCCAGACGAUUACUAAAACGUAAGUUCUGUCGUUCUACUGACGAAGUAAUAUUUUUCGAAUAUAGGAUGACACAUAUAGUAAUUAAAAAGUAAUAAGACGUAGAGUGAUGUAAAUUUGCAAUUAAUCGAAAAUCGUCAAAUUAAAGUUGAAUAAACUUUAUUUAUUAUUAUUCAUCCUUUUUUAACUACUUGCUUCUCUUCUUUUCAAUUUCAUAAUCAU